AAUUUUUUCAUAUCUGCAUAGAGUUAAUGUCAAAAUCAAAGUUAUUUUGGUUAAUUUUUUUACCUUUAGCUUUGUCACCAUCUGCUAUGGUUGUCCAAUCAACUCAGCCUUCCACUGUUCCAUCUACAUCUGAAACAGUUGUUUCAUCAACAUCUACCACAUUUAGAAAGUUUAAAAGCUAUUUCUUUGUUCACUUUGUAUGUAAUAUGUGUAUGUAAGGCCAAUUUCUAAUACUUUUUUACUUGGUUACACCUUUUUUUAAUCUAUAUCUGCCACAGUUACUAAGUUUAAAAGCUAUUACUUUUUAAUCUCUGUUAUAAUUUAAUGCCUUAAUC